AAUACAUUGUUGUCUGGAAGCUUUUGGCAGUUUCCUUACUUCAGCCAUGAAAACUAUAGAUUAUCUUUUCUCAUUGUUUUUUUGGUGGGACUCCAGGAAUGCGAGUGGAACCAGAAUCUUCUGAUCUUCUUCUCUUGACCCAGGUUUGUUUCCUUCAUGUACUGAGGAAGAAACAAAUGAACUCCAUAUUCAGGCAUCUUUUUUAAAAGCACCAAGUCUUCUGGCUCUAAUGCAGCUUGAUGGCUCACAGAAGCUGAACGUUACUGAAAAUCAGGUCAGGAACUGUCACUGAGGAGCACCAAAGGUCAGCGACCAAUGACAGAAUGUCCCCGUGGCUGACAGAAGCGUAUCAUGAAACCGGUGCCUCCCCUGUCAGAGAAACAUCAUCUUACCUGCAGGGCUGCUGGAUGUCAAGGUCAAAACAGCAGAAGCAGGAAGGAGGUGAAAACAGCAGAAGCCCAGGGCGUGAUCGGUCACUGUUUCUUCUGAAGGAAGUGGACAGAAGCGUGCAUGGGAAGCGUCAAGGGCACCAGUCCAUGCAAAAGUCAUGGGGAGUGAAGCUGGAGUACCAUCUCCCUCAGGAGGCUGGAGGCAGGGGGCAG